rnacentral:misc_RNA from 1 species
GAUGAAGAACGUAGCGAAAUGCGAUACGUAAUGUGAAUUGCAGAAUUCAGUGAAUCAUCGAAUCUUUGAACGCAUAUUGCGCUCUUUGGUAUUCCGAAGAGCAUGCUUGUUUGAGUAUCAGUAAACACCUCAAAGCUUUUGGAUUUUUUAAUCGAAAAGCUUUGGACUUGAGCAAUCCCAACACCAAUCUUUUUGAGAUCGGUGGCGGGUUGCCUGAAAUGCAGGUGCAGCUGGACAUUCUCCUGAGCUAAAAGCAUAUUCAUUUAGUCCCGUCAAACGGAUUAUUACUUUUGCUGCAGCUAACAUAAAGGGAGUUUGACCGUAUUGGCUGACUGAUGCAGGAUUUCACAAGGGUCGGCAACGAUUCUUGUUAAACUCGAUCUCAAAUCAAGUAAGACUACCCGCUGAACUUAAGCAUAUCAAUAAGCGGAGGA